AUACAAUUCAUCACAAUGCCGCCACAUAAAUCACAGGGCUGUGUCAACCGACUGAGGUCCAAUGAGCCACACCAUACCUGACUGCUUGAGGAUGUAAUGGGGGAAGGAACUGUCAUCAGGUGGAACUAAUGUGUUGGGAGUUGGGGAAGAUUUAGCCGGUGACUUAUCCAGCUGUAUUUAAGAAGACUGCAGGGGUGGGAGGGCGUUUCUAACAGUCUGUGUGUGAGCUGUACAACUCAAAUAACAGCCUAGAGCGCCAACAUGGGAGGCAAACUUGGAAAGAGAGGAAUGUAUACGGUCAAGGGGAAUCCAGAGGACCAGGCGGCAGAAGGGUCUGGCACAGAGAUGGAAGAGCCUUCUAGCGGAAACAGCCUGAGCGAGCUGGGAGUCUCAGCCUUGCAGGAGGAAGGAGAUGCCGGCAAUUCCCAAGUCCUUCUGGAAGGGAACCAGCCAGAGCAGGGAGCUGCUGCUUCAAUUAUGGAGGCACGUAAAAGUGCAGAUUCUCCAGUCGAUAUGGGUUCCACAACAGACCAACGUGGUAAAAUGUCAAUGACUGGUUCUGGAUUGGAACCCCCUACAGACCUUAAUGCUGAAACUGUGGCAGCUGCCGCUGAAGAAGGAGCUGAAGAAGACCCAAUGAUGACACCACCUUCUUCGCCACUGCCUGUGCAUUAAGUUCCCCCUCUAGAGAAAUCCAGCAGUCAAUGUCUUUCUAGGUGGGCCUGUACCACUUUCAGCAAAUCUUCUUGAUUUUAGGGAAGCGACCCUCCUGUGGGUGUUCUGGCUCAUUCAAAGAAUUCUGCUAGUAAAUAAGGCUGCGUAUUGGAAUCAAAUAAUGCUUGACUGUAUGGAAUGUCCUAUAUUGUUUUAACAGGCUGGGAGGUGGGACUUCAGAUUGAGACCUCCUGGAUCCCUGCUUGAGAGAGAGCCAGUCUCAGAGCCUAAUGUCAGCUUGGACCAUUCUCCGUAUUAAUAAAACUCUGAAUGCUGGUUCUCCUUCGUGGAUGGAAUUUGUCCAGGAAAAGACAUUGUCAUUCUGUUCAACGACGUUGCCCUAACGGAUAUUGCUGUGUAUUCCGAGGUAUUAGCUAUUGGGAUUGAUCUCUUGGCAGUCUCCCUUUUUCUGAAAUGCUUCUUGUGUGUAGUUGUAGCCGCUGUGUAUUCUUCAGAGCCUUGUGCCGGUGGGUGGGAGACGCGGACUUAUUGCUGUGUUCACUGGCCUUGUUACUGGGGAUGAAUUUAUUAGUGGUGCACUACACCUGAUUGGAUUUGUAGGGGCUCUAGUGCAAUCCACUAGUGCUGAAACAGAAAACCGUUGGAUUGUGCAAAUCUAUAUUGUGAAACUGAAUGGAUAAAACGACUGCCCGGCAUUUGUAUCUGUCAAUAAAUAACUUUUUAAAUGAUUACUGCAA